rnacentral:tRNA from 1 species
GCCUGGGUGGCUCAGUCGGUUGAGCGUCCGACUUCGGCCAGGUCAUGAUCUCGCGGUCCGUGAGUUCGAGCCCCACCUCAGGCU